AGGACGAACGCUGGCGGCACGCUUAACACAUGCAAGUCGAACGGUGAAGAGAAGCUUGCUUCUUUGAUGACGAGUGGCGGACGGGUGAGUAAUAUUUGGGAAACUACCUGAUAGAGGGGGACAACAGUUGGAAACGACUGCUAAUACCGCAUAUAGCCUGAGGGUGAAAGCAGCAAUGCGCUAUCAGAUGUGCCCAAACGGGAUUAGCUAGUAGGUGAGGUAAAGGCUCACCUAGGCGACGAUCUCUAGCUGGUCUGAGAGGAUGAUCAGCCACAUUGGGACUGAGACACGGCCCAGACUCCUACGGGAGGCAGCAGUAGGGAAUAUUGCACAAUGGAGGAAACUCUGAUGCAGCCAUGCCGCGUGUGUGAAGAAGGCCUUCGGGUUGUAAAGCACUUUCGGAGGGGAGGAAAAGAUGACGUUACCCUCAGAAGAAGCACCGGCUAACUCCGUG
rnacentral:rRNA from 1 species